rnacentral:lncRNA from 1 species
AAUCCGAGUUACGGAUCUUCCGGAAUUGGAAUUGUAAGUCCAUAAUAUAAAAUGUUAACCGUCACUUAGUUUUGGAAAUUGACGGAGAUCCGACCGUUGGAUGGUAAUGAAAUUUAGGAUGUUGUCCUAGAGGUAUAAUGUGGACCUCUGGAAGUUAUGGAUUUAAAAUCUGAGUGGCAGAUCUUCCGGAUCGAUCAACGUAGUGACGUAUUUUAUAUAAGUUAUAUAUUCUAUCGAUAUGAAUUCUGAGGUUGGAUUUGAUUACUAUUCUAGGCGCGAUCGUCGUGACGCCUUGAUGUGGUGUAGGGAGUUGUUGGGCGAACUCCAGGUGAGUGGGCAGUUUUGUUUUCCGUAUAUAUAUAUAUAUAUAUACUUGACGUUUCCCAGAAAUUGAAAAUGCAUGAAAUUAUGCUUUAAAUGAAAAUGCAUAAAAGUAUAUGAAAAGUAUAUAGAAAUGUGAGUUGAAAUGCCAUGCAUGAAUUAAUAUAUGAUGCAUAUGUAUGAAUUGGUGCGGUGGACGCACAGGUAAGAAUUGAUUUAUUGAUGCAUAUGUAUGAAUUGGUGCGGUGGACGCACAGGUAAGAAUGAUUUAUGAUGUGAUAUGUAUGAUAUGAUGAAUGGUGCGGUGGACGCACAGAUGAGUAUUUAAUUACUGUUAUGAUGAUGAUGAUAUAUAUAUUGAGCUCAAUCCUGCACCAUGGUUUAGUGCUUAUAGUAUCACCGCAUCGCACGCUCGCCUUGGAUCCAAGUAGAUGCUAGUCGUACAGUCCACGCGGAGUGGGUACGACAGGCCAGUCGCGAGAGUGUUAGUGAGAUUCCGACUGGUGGGUGACCUUAGAUUAUGUGCACAGAUGAUUUAUGAGAAGCACUAGAGCGUAACUUGUGUGCAGAAGGCCGGACGGGUCACAGAGGUGACUCCGGUAGAGUGAUAAUGAUAGAUUUUGAGCUCUAGGUUCAACCGUACAGGGCUAUUGGAGGGCCUCCGGUUGAUUACUUUCUUGCACCUGAUAUGAUUAUUGUUGAUGCAUCCAUACUUAACUGUUGAAUUAGACAUGGCAUGGCAUGAUUGAUAAAGAAAAAAUGUUGAGUUAAUGAAUUAAAGUAUUGAGAAUAUAUAUGUAUAUUUAUAUUUUACAUUUCUGGGAAAAUAUACAGGUUUUACGGAGAGGGGUUACAACGUUUUGAAAAAUGUUUGGAUUUGGAAAAGAAUUGUUUUACUGACCCACUCAAUUUUGGUUUUGCGCCCCUCCAGGUUCAGGAAUCACAAAGGUGUGGUGACUACGAGGAAUACGGCGGGGUUCUGACAGAUUGGACAAAAUUAGGACUCACCUUCGGUGUAUCAACUUAUAAAUUGUAUCUUAAAGCUUCCGUACUGUGCAAAUGGUUACGUCACUCUCACGUGACGGCCAGCAUGCCCUCCUUCGGGACGGGGGUGUGUCAGUUGGUAUCAGAGCAUGGUUGCAAUCUUGGACAUCUUGAGAAGUUUCUAGUGAAUCUGUCAGAACUACACCGCCUCGUAGCAAACCACGUAGUUAGAGGAAUUUAGUUCUCCCUAAAUAUAGCGGUUUAGGGGAAACUAUUACAAUGGUGAUUCAGUAUAUUAUCAAAAGGGACAUUUUAAGACGGAUUAUGAGUCGAAUUUGAAUCACCUUAUGAAAUGAUGAACCUGAGGGAGCGAAGUAACGGUUUAACCAUUUGGAAAAGAUGUUUCGGAUUAUGCAAGUCAAAGGAAUCUUCCUUCUGACAAGGGUCGAGAUGACUACCUGGUUUGAGUUAUGAACGUGUAUCCUGAUGGAAGCAGGAGUAUUAAUUGUUGUCACCGGAGGAACAGCCGAUUUAAAAUUGUUUAAGGACUUGUUUAAGGAAAAGUUUAUCCCUCCGGCAUUUAUCGAUGGUAGUAAACAAGAGUUUACAAAUAUGAGACAAGGAAGGUGAUGAUCGAGGAUAUUAUAGAAAGUUUUCAGACUUGCCUUGUUCCAUCCAGAUAUUGUUGUUAUUGGUGGAGGUGUUAUGUUGUUUUAAGCUGGGUGGCAAAAAGGGAAGUGGUAUUUGGGUGACCACUAUCCAUUAUACUUCUUACCAGGAAUAUACGAGAUGCUGUUGAGUCUUGAGGACUCUGAGAACAUGAUCAACGAGAAUAAAGAAGAAUAAGAAAUGAAUGGGAAUUAAAAGAAGACGAUAAAGUUAAUGAUUCGUCAUAUCAAGGAGAUAGAAAGAUUCAGAGCUUCGAAAGAAGUGAAGCUAGAGUUAAUUCUUCCAGCUGAGGUUUUAAUGUCGCUGGUCAGAGUAAAAGUGAUGGAUAUACUGGUAAUCCCAGAUAUUUGAGACAAGGUGUCUCGAGUAAAGGAAAUGUACUUUGUGCAGCAGGUACAAAAUUAACACUUUGGGAAGUGUGAAAUUAAUGAAUGUGUUUAUGUGAACAGAGGGGACACAGAAUUGUGAAUCGUCCCUAUAAUCAGUUGUACCCAACAGUUUUCUAUGACAUCAUAGUGUUGAUUCAGCAGAGUUAUGGAUUUAGUAGUUUGGUCGGAUUGACCGUGAGUACAGAGAGAUUUGAUGAGUUAUAUGUUCAGCCGUACAGACCAUGAGAAGUGGAUUCGAUUGACACAUGAGAAAUUGGUGAGUUAUAGGCUCGGCCGUACCGACCACGCGGAGUGGAUCCGGCCGACGUAUUAUUGAGAUAAUUGUUGAAUCAGCCGUACAGGUCAUUCUAGUUGACUUCGACUGAUAUAUUUCUUAUUAUGUAUGUUAUUACCUAGAGAGUAGUAAAUAAAUGUAGUUGAGACGAGUAUAUGUAUUUUACAUUGAGUGACAAAAUAGUAAUGUUAUAUCUUUGAGAGUGGUUGCCUACUUAUCGAGACAACGAUGAUUUAUCAGUAUUGCGGGCUGCAGACCGUAAUAUUAAUAACUCAUUCGUGGAUUCGUUAAGCAAGCAAACCGGUAGGUUAUUUUAUGCUAGUGUUGUACUUACUUAGAAUGUUCAGUAAUAAUAGAAUAUAUAUUGUAUCAAUUAAUUUUAUUCCAUUAGAGUGAUUGUUUAUAGUUGUGACUAGAUGGAAUGUUACGGGAAACCAGUUACUUUCCAUCGAGUUGAUUAAUUAGAGGUUACUUUGGUGGGUAUACAAAGUGAAGUGAGUUCAGCCAUUAUUUAUGCUGUGAAAGCAAAGAGAUUGUUUUGAAAGGCUGCCCAAAAAUACUUAGCUCAUGUGGUGCUAAAUGAUGUUGUUUGGAGAAGUGUGAAAAAUGAAAAAGGGGUUAGACUUUCUUGAUGUCUUCCUUGAAAGUAUACCUGGAUUGCCUUCAGGCAGAGAUAUGAGGUUCACUAUUGAUUUGUUGCCAGGUAUAAAUUUAUGUUAAAGAUUGGUUCAUGAUGAGUUAAGGGAAAUGGAAAUUUAGUUGAAAGAAUUGGUUGAUAAAAGUUUUAUUCAACCUAGUACAACGCUUUGGGGGAGCCCCAGUUUGUUGGUGAGGAAGAAAAUGGACUUAGAGAUUGUUCAUUGAUUAUAGACAAUGGAGUCGGGUAACGAUUAAGAACCGUUAUCCAUGGUAAUGUACUGAUGUUUAUUUAACCAGCUCAGAAGUAAUUGCGAAGAUUCAAAGAUUGAAUUGAGAUCUGGUUACUACCAAUUGAAUAUUAUAAGUGACGUUGAUCAUAAGAUGGUUUUCUGGACUUGUUAUGGUCCUUAUGAAGUUUGGUGAUGCUAUGUGGAUACUCAUGCUGUUUUAUGAGUUGAUGGAUGAAGUAUUCCAAUAAUGCCUUGAUAGAUUGAUAUCAUUUUUAUUGAAGAUAUUCUGGCAUAUUCUGAGCCAGAGCAGAGCAUUGUAAACGUAUUAAGUCGGUGAACCAAAAUUUGAGAGAACGUUGGUUGUAUGCUAAGUUAGCAAAUGCUAAAGUUAGACGAAUCAGGUGGCAUUCUGAGAUUUGUUAUAUAUUCUUAAGGUAUUCAAGUGAAUCCUUAAAAGAUAGCAGAAAUUGAGAAAUUGGAACAACCACGAGCGUAAUUGUAAUUGAGAUUCAGAAUUUCUUAGCUUACCAGGCUAUCUUGGAUGGUUGUGAAAGAUUUUUCAGUCAUUGCUUUGUCAUUGACGAGACUGUCGAGAAAAGAGGUUAUGUAUGAGUGGGAAGGAAAUUGUGAGCAAAGGAUUCAACAACUGAAGUAUUUCCUCACUCAUGCACGUAUUUUGGUAUUCCCAGAGAAUAGUGGUAAUCAUAAAUUUUUAGUGAUGUUUCUUGAAUGGUAUUGGAUGCAUGUUGAUGCAAAUGUUAGGGUGAUUGCAUACGUUUCACGAUAAAUGGAAUCUCAUAAGAUGAAUUACCCUACGGGUGACUUAGAAAUCAUGAUUACCAUUCUUGCUGUGAAGUUAUGAAGGCAUUAUAUUUGGUAAGAAUGCAAGAUUUUUACGAAUCCAAAAAGUCUUCAAUAUCCAUUACUUGGAAGGAUUUUGAUAUGAGGCAGCGAAAGUGAAUUGUAUUGCUUAAUGAACAUGAUUGUACGAUCAGGAUGAUCGUAAAGUUUGUUCUAACUGAAGCACUUGGUGAGAAGACUACAGUAAGAUUAAUGUCUGGCACGUUUGCCAAGAGUAUCAUCUUGUGGAUUGAAAACCAACGGAAGAAAAAUUAAGAAUGGAAGAUCGAGAAGAAGUUAUACUUGUUAAAUUUCAAGUUAGGCCUGUUGGUAAGGUCGUACUUGAAACUUAAAUGCUUGACGAAGAAAUUUAAGAAUUAACCAAGGUAGAGAAAGAAGGUAAGUUAAAUCCUAAGUUAAUCGGACUUAAGUGAUUAUCGAAAAGUUGGUGAAGUUGCUUACAAGCUUGUGAUGCCCUCAGAAUUGGUUAAGGUGCAAAACAUAUUUUAUGAUUCGAUGCGUUGUCACUAGGUGGCAGAUUCGUCACAUGAGAUUCUGGUGUAACUAUUGAGAAUUAAAUUGGAUUCGACUUGAUAAGAAUCAAGGACGACUUUGGAUUGGAAAAAGAAGUCCUGAGAAUUAAGACAGAGUAAGUAGUAAAAGCUUUGUGAAGGAAAUCAUUCAGUAGAAAAGUAUGUGGGAGAAAGAGAAUCGGAUGAGAAAGAUUUACCCGAAGCUAUUGUUGGAGUAGGUUGAUUUAGUUGGUUGCUGGAAUUUCGGGGACGAAAUUCUAUAAGGAGGGAAGAUUGUCACAGCCCGUCCCGGAAUUUUAUUCCGAGGACUGAAAAAGACGAAAAUGCCCUUAAACGGGACUAAGGGCGAAAUUUAAACAAUUGGAUUGAGUUGGACACGUGGGAUCCCCACACCCCCCUCAAUCCUCUCCCUAUUUUCUGCAUACUGUCUCUCUCUUCCUCCCUCACGAAUCUCUCUCUCUGUCACUCUUCUUUCUCCGUUCGAACAAACCAACCACAAAAAACCUUAAACUUCCACCAACGACGGAGUUAAGACCCCAUCGAACUCCUGAGACUCCCACGAUCACGUAGACACCAAUUUCAGGUAAGUUUACUUCGGAAAACCUAGAUUCUAAACUCCGUGAAAGUGCACUGUUCAUAUCUUCGAAUUGACUUUGUUUUAGGACAUCCAAGCUCACAGUGAGCUUAGUGAGGUUCCAAGGAGCUCGGAGUGCUUCGUUGGAAGUUUGGGACGUAAGAACACGGAGAUCGAUAAGUUCAAAGUUUGGCCGGGCUUUCGAGGCAUUUUCCGGCGAAUCCCCGGCGAGUUAGGCGUCGAGUAGGUAUCAAUCUCUUCGUCUCGUCAAGUACUACAACUUCCUUUUUGUUUCACUCAAUUUCGUGAGUAUUGAAGAAGUUAUACUCAUUUGAAAAUACCCAGUUUCCGGCGGACCUCCGAGGCUCGAGCAGUUUCCGGCCAAACUACGGCGAACUAUGUUUGGAAAGGUACCAUUCUCUUUGUCUCUUCAAGGGCUACAACUUUCGUUUUUGAAUCACUUGAUUUCGUUGAGAAAUGACAAAGUUAUGGCAAUUUGAAAAAACUGCCCAGAAAACGGCCGCCGGAAAAAACCAGUCCGGCGACCCAAGGAAGAAGAAGGUGCUACAGUAAAAAUAAAAAAUAAAAUAAUAAAUUAUUUUAAAAAUAUGUCGACGUCCGUGACGUCGAGUAGAUCACUGUGGUAUAUUCAUAUACCUAAAUUGAACACCGUAUGAGAAAGUUAUUGAAGAUUGUUGGUUAGGUGUUCAAAUAACGUUUUAUAGUUUUCACAUUUAGGUGAAAAUGUGAAUUGAUGAUCCGACCGUUGGAUCGUCACCAAACUUUGAUACGUUUAAUACGUAAUAUUUUGAGGAUUAUUGGAACUUACGGAUUGGGGAAUCCGAGUUACGGAUCUUCCGGAAUUGGAAUUGUAAGUCCAUAAUAUAAAAUGUUAACCGUCACUUAGUUUUGGAAAUUGACGGAGAUCCGACCGUUGGAUGGUAAUGAAAUUUUAGGAUGUUGUCCUAGAGGUAUAAUGUGGACCUCUGGAAGUUAUGGAUUUAAAAUCUGAGUGGCAGAUCUUCCGGAUCGAUCAACGUAGUGACGUAUUUUAUAUAAGUUAUAUAUUCUAUCGAUAUGAAUUCUGAGGUUGGAUUUGAUUACUAUUCUAGGCGGCGAUCGUCGUGACGCCUUGAUGUGUGGUGCUAGGGAGUUGUUGGGCGAACUCCAGGUGAGUGGGCAGUUUUGUUUUCCGUAUAUAUAUAUAUAUAUAUACUUGACGUUUCCCAGAAAUUGAAAAUGCAUGAAAUUAUGCUUUAAAUGAAAAUGCAUAAAAGUAUAUGAAAAGUAUAUAGAAAUGUGAGUUGAAAUGCCAUGCAUGAAUUAAUAUAUGAUGCAUAUGUAUGAAUUGGUGCGGUGGACGCACAGGUAAGAAUUGAUUUAUGAUGCAUAUGUAUGAAUUGGUGCGGUGGACGCACAGGUAAGAAUUGAUUUAUGAUGCAUAUGUAUGAAUUGGUGCGGUGGACGCACAGGUAAGAAUUGAUUUAUGAUGCAUAUGUAUGAAAUGGUGCGGUGGACGCACAGAUGAGUAUUUAAUUACUGUUAUGAUGAUGAUGAUAUAUAUAUUGAGCUCAAAUCCUGCACCAUGGUUUAGUGCUUAUAGUAUUCACCGCAUCGCACGCUCGCCUUGGAUCCAAGUAGAUGCUAGUCGUACAGUCCACGCGGAGUGGGUACGACAGGCCAGUCGCGAGAGUGUUAGUGAGAUUCCGACUGGGGGUGACCUUAGAUUAUGUGCACAGAUGAUUUAUGAGAAGCACUAGAGCGUAACUUGUGUGCAGAAGGCCGGACGGGUCACAGAGGUGACUCCGGUAGAGUGAUAAUGAUAGAUUUUGAGCUCUAGGUUCAACCGUACAGGGCUAUUGGAGGGCCUCCGGUUGAUUACUUUCUUGCACCUGAUAUGAUUAUUGUUGAUGCAUCCAUACUUAACUGUUGAAUUAGACAUGGCAUGGCAUGAUUGAUAAAGAAAAAAUGUUGAGUUAAUGAAUUAAAGUAUUGAGAAUAUAUAUGUAUAUUUAUAUUUUACAUUUCUGGGAAAAUAUACAGGUUUUACGGAGAGGGGUUACAACGUUUUGAAAAAUGUUUGGAUUUGGAAAAGAAUUGUUUUACUGACCCACUCAAUUUUGGUUUUGCGCCCCUCCAGGUUCAGGAAUCACAAAGGUGUGGUGACUACGAGGAAUACGGCGGGGUUCUGACAGAUUGGACAAAAUUAGGACUCACCUUCGGGUGUAUCAACUUAUAAAUUGUAUCUUAAAGCUUCCGUACUGUGCAAAUGGUUACGUCACUCUCA